UAAAGCCUCCCAACUGGGAUUAGAUACCCCACUAUUCAAGGUUAUAAAUUAAUGUAAAUUUACCAGAGUACUACGAAUAAAAAGGUUUAAAACUCAAAGGGCUUGGCGGUGUUUUAGACUUAUCAGGGGAACCUGUCUCGUAAUCGAUAAUCCACGUUAUACCUGAUCUUUCUUGGCAAUUCAGUUUGUAUACCGUUGUCUGCAGGUAACUUUUAAGAAAGUAAAAGUUAGCAAGUAAACUUGUUAGUUAAUACGUCAAAUCAAGGUGCAGUAUAUAGAGAGAUGAAGAUGGGUUACAGUUAUUUAUUUAUAACUACGGAUAGAUAGACUAAUGUCUAUUUUGAAGGAGGACUUGAAAGUAAGAAGGAUAUAUAAAAACAUUUUGAAUAUGGCUCUGAAACGUGCACACACCGCCCGUCACCCCCUCAAG
rnacentral:rRNA from 1 species